rnacentral:rRNA from 1 species
UGGGGAAUAUUGCACAAUGGGCGCAAGCCUGAUGCAGCCAUGCCGCGUGUGUGAAGAAGGCCUUCGGGUUGUAAAGCACUUUCAGCGGGGAGGAAGGGCCACUAGUUAAUACCUAGUGGCAUUGACGUUACUCGCAGAAGAAGCACCGGCUAACUCCGUGCCAGCAGCCGCGGUAAUACGGAGGGUGCAAGCGUUAAUCGGAAUUACUGGGCGUAAAGCGCACGCAGGCGGUUUGUUAAGUCAGAUGUGAAAUCCCCGAGCUCAACUUGGGAACUGCAUUUGAAACUGGCAAGCUAGAGUCUUGUAGAGGGGGGUAGAAUUCCAGGUGUAGCGGUGAAAUGCGUAGAGAUCUGGAGGAAUACCGGUGGCGAAGGCGGCCCCCUGGACAAAGACUGACGCUCAGGUGCGAAAGCGUGGGGAGCAAACAGG